rnacentral:lncRNA from 1 species
UUCAGGUAAAAACGAGACUUAAAGAAAUCGGAAAUGGAGAUUCACAAGUCAUUCACAAAACAACCAUUAAAGCAUGGAAGGUAACAAACAUAAACAACUUAUGGGAAGAUGAACAAAGAAACAGGGAAAAGGAAAAGAUUGAACCUCGAAAAAGCGGACGGAAUCCCGAAUAACACUAUUCGAACGAACAAUUUACGAGCACCUCGAUAUGGCGGCGAGCUGGUCGGAACCAACAAAUCGCAUGACACCGGAGGACUCAAACUCGAACAAGGCCUCUAAAUACUCAAUCGAACUCUGUGUUUCAUCGCACGACACCGGAGGACUCGAACUAGAACAAGGCCUCUAAAUACUCAAUCGAACUCCAUAUUUCAAGUCAAAAUCUGAAAUAGUAAUGAAGAGAUAGAGAUAUCUCUUUUGCUUUUUAUAUUUUAUUUUUUUAGAUCUUAAGCAGAAGCAAAGACUUGAAUCAAAAUAAAAACAAAAUGAAGAACACUCCUUGGAACUCCUCUAUUUCUCUCUUAUUGUUACAUUCUCGUUGGUUUGGGUUGCUACGGUUUGUAGAGAUGAGGUUCCGUGGCGUUCAGGGUUGUUUGACGAUGAUGGGUGAUGGGGUGGUGAAGAGGAGUGACGGACGUUGGAGAUGGCGAAGGGCUGGUUGUUUCGCUGGUUUCGACAGUGCAGCGAGGUUGUUUGGUCGAGGCGGGCUAGACUGGUUUCCGGCCUAUGAGGGCUGUAGGGUGUUGUGGGCGGCAGUAAAACCAGGGUUCAACUAGUCCUCCCCAUUGUUAUCUUUUUCUUGGUAUGGUCAAGAAGAAGACUUUCUAGUGUUUUUUUGGUUGUUAUAAGGAAGAUGAAGGGUCCUCCUUCAUGUCACAAAAAAACGACUGAUCUCCCCCCAAAAAAUGCCUAGGUCUAGCUAGGGUUUUUUUAUUUAAAAAUCUGAUGGGGAUUUUGGGUGUGGG